CCUAUACAUGCAGUCGAGCGAAUGACGAAGAAGCUUGCUUCUUCUGAUUUAGCGGCGGACGGGUGAGUAACACGUGGGCAACCUGCCCUGUAGAUUGGGAUAACUCCGGGAAACCGGGGCUAAUACCGAAUAAUCCAUUUCCUCACAUGGGGAGAUGUUAAAAGACGGCAUCUCGCUGUCACUACAGGAUGGGCCCGCGGCGCAUUAGCUAGUUGGUGAGGUAACGGCUCACCAAGGCGACGAUGCGUAGCCGACCUGAGAGGGUGAUCGGCCACACUGGGACUGAGACACGGCCCAGACUCCUACGGGAGGCAGCAGUAGGGAAUCUUCCACAAUGGACGAAAGUCUGAUGGAGCAAUGCCGCGUGAGUGAAGAAGGUUUUCGGAUCGUAAAACUCUGUUGUGAGGGAAGAACAAGUACGAGAGUAACUGCUCGUACCUUGACGGUACCUCAUUAGAAAGCCACGGCUAACUACGUGCCAGCAGCCGCGGUAAUACGUAGGUGGCAAGCGUUGUCCGGAAUUAUUGGGCGUAAAGCGCGCGCAGGCGGUCCUUUAAGUCUGAUGUGAAAUCCCACGGCUCAACCGUGGAAGGUCAUUGGAAACUGGGGGACUUGAGUACAGAAGAGGAAAGCGGAAUUCCAAGUGUAGCGGUGAAAUGCGUAGAGAUUUGGAGGAACACCAGUGGCGAAGGCGGCUUUCUGGUCUGUAACUGACGCUGAGGCGCGAAAGCGUGGGGAG
rnacentral:rRNA from 1 species